rnacentral:rRNA from 1 species
GUGGGGAAUAUUGGACAAUGGGCGAAAGCCUGAUCCAGCCAUGCCGCGUGUGUGAAGAAGGUCUUCGGAUUGUAAUGCACUUUAAGUUGGGAGGAAGGGUAGUAACGUAAUACGUUGCUACUUUGACGUUACCGACAGAAUAAGCACCGGCUAACUUCGUGCCAGCAGCCGCGGUAAUACGAAGGGUGCAAGCGUUAAUCGGAAUUACUGGGCGUAAAGCGCGCGUAGGUGGUUCAGUAAGUUGGAAGUGAAAUCCCCGGGCUCAACCUGGGAACUGCUUUCAAAACUGCUGAGCUAGAGUACGGUAGAGGGUGGUGGAAUUUCCUGUGUAGCGGUGAAAUGCGUAGAUAUAGGAAGGAACACCAGUGGCGAAGGCGACCACCUGGACUGAUACUGACACUGAGGUGCGAAAGCGUGGGGAGCAAACAGGAUUAGAAACCCCGGUAGUCC